UCUCCCAAUUCUUAGGAAUGCAGUUUGUCUGAUAAAGCUCAGAGUAAAGCUAUAUAGAGACAGAUGAACUAAGAUAAAGACCUUUUUAAGGGAAAAAUGCCUACUUUUGUGAGGAUUUUUUUUUUUAAUCUGGGAAGCACGUAAAGCUAGAAGAAUAUGACUAACAGAGCAAUUCAUAUUUCAUUUAUACAUAGUAGAUCUGAAAGGUCUCAGACACAAUAAAAGUCACACAAUAUCUGGUGUUAUUUGCUCAUUAAAAUAUGAAUUGAAAAGGAAAGGCAAAAGUAAAGAUGGCAGGUUUAAGUCAUGUGUCAUCUAUAAGAUAUUAGGAAACUGAAUCUGGCUUUGAAUCCCCUCCCCAGUUUCUUACCCUCACCACUCCUCUCUAUGCACCAGAAGACUUCACUUAUGCACACUGUCUACCUUGUGUUUCACUGAUACAAAUGAAAUCAGAUAUUUUUUUUCCUCCCAAAAUGUGCAAUGGUGACUUUCAAACCUAAAUUUGCAGGUGUCUGCCCUGUGCUCCUGGGAUUUUAUUAGGGAGUAUGACCAAGAGGCAUAAUUUGAAACUAUUGUUAUACUGAUAAUGCCACAGCUUAUUUUCCUAUUACAGGUGAUCCAAGGGAAGUAAUUUCCUGUUUGAUGAGACACCUAAAUGACAUGUAGCUGUGGGUAUCAGAAAAACAUGCCCUGCGAUUAAAUUUAAAGAAUGUUGAGCUUAUAUUGUCUAGUGCCUGUUACUUUUUGAAUGGCACUUCAUGCUUUGCAACUUCAUUUAAAGGAAGUUUUAUAGCAUCUCAUUUGAAGGUUCAUGACCUCGAGGUCAUCUUUGAUAUCAGCCCAUCUUUUGAUUAUCAGUUUAGCUACAUGACAAAAACUUCUACACCUACAGAGGACAGUAAGUAAGGCUACAACCAAGGCUGUCUCAGGAGGGUGCUAGGCUGUCAUUCAUGCUUUCAUUACAUCUCAGCUGGAUUACUGAAACAUAUUGUUCCCAGGCCUUCCGGACCAGGCACUUCAGAAACUGCAACACAGCAAAAAUAUUGAAGCUGGAGGGAUUAAGAAGCUGUUCAGUGUGCACAGCCCACAGCAGCCAUGCUGAGAGCUUAACAAGAACCACAGGAUCUGGCCUUUAAUAACAGAUAUGUUCCUGUACACACAUCUUUCCAAAUACCACCUCGUGUAAGGGAAAUGUGACAGACUUAAAUAUGCAGAAGAAUAACGGAGUAUUAUGGUCUUUAUUCUUCAAAUAUCAUAAUCAGGUAAUUAUCUGCUGAAGUGUCCUGUUCACUUUCUCGUUAAGCCACUUGUUUAUUUAGGAAGGAAUUCAAUCUGCACAUCAAUAUUUUGUAUAUCUUAGAUGCACUGUCUUCACCAAUUUCACUUUUUCUCCAUCUCUUCCGUGAGAAUUUACUUUCCCUAUGUAGCACUGUUCAAGCAAGCUUCCCAGUUGUUAAAUGCACUGAGAAAGUAUUAGGAGAAAAUUGUGACAAGAUGAAAAGGUCUCAGAAUAUUUGGCAAUGGAUGUAUAUGCAGAGAGUCUACCGAGGCAGAGAAGUUUUGCAAUAGGAAAAUUCUAGCAUCUACAUAGGUUAUAAUUCAAUCUUCUUUCUAAUUUUACAGACUGACAACGGAUUCAAAAGCUCCCAGGAGAAAGUGAGCAUGGCUGAAAUGUAGGAGGUCUGGUACAAAGAUGAACAAGCCUUGUUAAGUGAAACCUUUGAAUAUGUAUGCCCUUUUUGAUUUGCUGCAGUGAGUUUCUCUACCGCUAGUAAUUCACUUCGGCUUGUUUACAUUUAAAGGAUAACAUUCAUAAUAGAAAACACAAAUGAAAAAAUGACUUCUGCAGAUGAUUAAGUGUUACAGAAAGAUAAGUUUGGAACCUAACUGUGAAAGCUGUUAAUCAUACAUUUACCCCAACAUCAGCAGCACUGUCCCAUUUACACUUUCCUUCCUUGGAAACCACACAAGAAAAAGGACAUUUACAAGACAUGGAGGCAUGGAUAUGUUUUCGUAGUGCUUUUCUGGACUAUUUGAUGCUUAAUCUAUGAAGUUACAGGUGAAUAAGCUGUCUGAAAGUGAAACCCUGAAUGCUCAGCACAGUGCUGAGGAGACAGAAAUAAGAAAAAAAUAAAUAAUUUAUUGCUUUUGCUUAAUCUGUAAUU
rnacentral:lncRNA from 1 species